rnacentral:rRNA from 1 species
UAGGGAAUCUUCGGCAAUGGACGAAAGUCUGACCGAGCAACGCCGCGCGAGUGAAGAAGGUUUUCGGAUCGUAAAACUCUGUUGUUAGAGAAGAACAAGGACGUUAGUAACUGAACGUCCCCUGACGGUAUCUAACCAGAAAGCCACGGCUAACUACGUGCCAGCAGCCGCGGUAAUACGUAGGUGGCAAGCGUUGUCCGGAUUUAGUGGGCGUAAAGCGAGCGCAGGCGGUUACUUAAGUCUGAUGUGAAAGCCCCCGGCUCAACCGGGGAGGGUCAUUGGAAACUGUGAGACUUGAGUGCAGAAGAGGAGAGUGGAAUUCCAUGUGUAGCGAUGAAAUGCGUAGAUAGAUGGAGGAACACCAGUAGCGAAGGCAGCUCUCUGGUCUGUAACUGACGCUGAGGCUCGAAAGCGUGGGGAGCAAACAGG